rnacentral:rRNA from 2 species
UGCAAGUCGAACGGUGAACACGGAGCUUGCUCUGUGGGAUCAGUGGCGAACGGGUGAGUAACACGUGAGCAACCUGCCCCUGACUCUGGGAUAAGCGCUGGAAACGGCGUCUAAUACUGGAUAUGUGACGUGACCGCAUGGUCUGCGUCUGGAAAGAAUUUCGGUUGGGGAUGGGCUCGCGGCCUAUCAGCUUGUUGGUGAGGUAAUGGCUCACCAAGGCGUCGACGGGUAGCCGGCCUGAGAGGGUGACCGGCCACACUGGGACUGAGACACGGCCCAGACUCCUACGGGAGGCAGCAGUGGGGAAUAUUGCACAAUGGGCGCAAGCCUGAUGCAGCAACGCCGCGUGAGGGACGACGGCCUUCGGGUUGUAAACCUCUUUUAGCAGGGAAGAAGCGAAAGUGACGGUACCUGCAGAAAAAGCGCCGGCUAACUACGUGCCAGCAGCCGCGGUAAUACGUAGGGCGCAAGCGUUAUCCGGAAUUAUUGGGCGUAAAGAGCUCGUAGGCGGUUUGUCGCGUCUGCUGUGAAAUCCGGAGGCUCAACCUCCGGCCUGCAGUGGGUACGGGCAGACUAGAGUGCGGUAGGGGAGAUUGGAAUUCCUGGUGUAGCGGUGGAAUGCGCAGAUAUCAGGAGGAACACCGAUGGCGAAGGCAGAUCUCUGGGCCGUAACUGACGCUGAGGAGCGAAAGGGUGGGGAGCAAACAGGCUUAGAUACCCUGGUAGUCCACCCCGUAAACGUUGGGAACUAGUUGUGGGGUCCAUUCCACGGAUUCCGUGACGCAGCUAACGCAUUAAGUUCCCCGCCUGGGGAGUACGGCCGCAAGGCUAAAACUCAAAGGAAUUGACGGGGACCCGCACAAGCGGCGGAGCAUGCGGAUUAAUUCGAUGCAACGCGAAGAACCUUACCAAGGCUUGACAUAUACGAGAACGGGCCAGAAAUGGUCAACUCUUUGGACACUCGUAAA